rnacentral:rRNA from 1 species
AGUAAUACUUGGGCAAUCUGCCCUCAGGAGGGAGACAACCUGCCGAAAGGCGGGCUAAUAUCCCGUAAGACCACGGAAUGGCAUCAUUUCGAGGUAAAAGCUCCGCAAGGGGCGCCAGAGGAGGAGCCCGAGUCCUAUCAUGGUAGUUGGUGAGGUAACGGCUCACCAAGCCUACGACGGGUAGCCGGCCUGAAAGGGUGAUCGGCCACACUGGCACUGAGACACGGGCCAG